CGCCUUGCCAGCCCGCUCAGAAACUCAAAGGAAUUGACGGGGGCCCGCACAAGCGGUGGAGCAUGUGGUUUAAUUCGAUGAUACGCGAGGAACCUUACCUGGGCUCAAAUGUAUGUUGACGUAUUCUGAAAGGGAUACUUCUUCGGACAAUAUACAAGGUGCUGCAUGGUUGUCGUCAGCUCGUGCCGUGAGGUGUCGGGUUAAGUCCCAUAACGAGCGCAACCCCUACCUUUAGUUGCCAUCAGGUUAAGCUGGGGACUCUAAAGGAACUGCCUACGCAAGUAGUGAGGAAGGCGGGGAUGACGUCAAAUCAGCACGGCCCUUACGUCCAGGGCUACACACGUGCUACAAUGGCCGAUACAGAGGGCAGCUACCUGGUGACAGGAUGCAAAUCUCCAAAGUCGGUCUCAGUUCGGAUCGGAGUCUGCAACCCGACUCCGUGAAGUUGGAUUCGCUAGUAAUCGCGCAUCAGCCAUGGCGCGGUGAAUACGUUCCCGGGCCUU
rnacentral:rRNA from 1 species